rnacentral:tRNA from 1 species
GGUGGCCUCAGUGGUAGAGUGCUUGCCUUGCAUGCAUGAGGCCUUAGGUUCAAUUCCUCAGCACCA